rnacentral:rRNA from 1 species
GAUGAACGCUGGCGGCGUGCCUAAUACAUGCAAGUCGAGCGAACGGACGAGAAGCUUGCUUUUCUGAUGUUAGCGGCGGACGGGUGAGUAACACGUGGAUAACCUACCUAUAAGACUGGGAUAACUUCGGGAAACCGGAGCUAAUACCGGAUAAUAUUUUGAACCGCAUGGUUCAAAAGUGAAAGACGGUCUUGCUGUCACAUAUAGAUGGAUCCGCGCUGCAUUAGCUAGUUGGUAAGGUAACGGCCUACCAAGGCAACGAUGCAUAGCCGACCUGAGAGGGUGAUCGGCCACACUGGAACUGAGACACGGUCCAGACUCCUACGGGAGGCAGCAGUAGGGAAUCUUGCGCAAUGGGCGAAAGCCUGACGCAGCAACGCCGCGUGAGUGAUGAAGGUCUUCGGAUCGUAAAACUCUGUUAUUAGGGAAGAACAUAUGUGUAAGUAACUGUGCACAUCUUGACGGUACCUAAUCAGAAAGCCACGGCUAACUACGUG